rnacentral:rRNA from 1 species
GACGAACGCUGGCGGCGUGCUUAACACAUGCAAGUCGAACGGAAAGGCCCUGCUUUUGUGGGGUGCUCGAGUGGCGAACGGGUGAGUAACACGUGAGUAACCUGCCCUUGACUUUGGGAUAACUUCAGGAAACGGGGGCUAAUACCGGAUAGGAGCUCCUGCGGCAUGGUGGGGGUUGGAAAGUUUCGGCGGUUGGGGAUGGACUCGCGGCUUAUCAGCUUGUUGGUGGGGUAGUGGCUUACCAAGGCGUUGACGGGUAGCCGGCCUGAGAGGGUGACCGGCCACAUUGGGACUGAGAUACGGCCCAGACUCCUACGGGAGGCAGCAGUGGGGAAUAUUGCACAAUGGGCGGAAGCCUGAUGCAGCAACGCCGCGUGCGGGAUGACGGCCUUCGGGUUGUAAACCGCUUUCGCCUGUGACGAAGCGUGAGUGACGGUAAUUGGUAAAGAAGCACCGGCUAACUACGUG